rnacentral:misc_RNA from 1 species
UAACAAGGUUUCCGUAGGUGAACCUGCGGAAGGAUCAUUAAUGAUGCCCUCGAAGUCUUUGGACUGGUAGGGUUUGUGUCGGUCUCUUCGGAGUCGACCUUAUCUCACACACCGUGAACUGUGGCUUCGGCCAUUUACACAAACUGUUAGUAAUGAAUGUAAUAUCAUAACAAACAUAAAACUUUUAACAACGGAUCUCUUGGCUCUCGCAUCGAUGAAGAACGCAGCGAA